rnacentral:rRNA from 2 species
CUGCUCCUAGUACGAGAGGACCGGAGUGGACGCAUCACUGGUGUUCGGGUUGUCAUGCCAAUGGCACUGCCCGGUAGCUAAAUGCGGAAGAGAUAAGUGCUGAAAGCAUCUAAGCACGAAACUUGCCCCGAGAUGAGUUCUCCCUGAGACUUAAAGUCUCCUGAAGGAACGUUGAAGACGACGACGUUGAUAGGCCGGGUGUGUAAGCGCAGCGAUGCGUUGAGCUAACCGGUACUAAUGAACCGUGAGGCUUAACCUU